CAACUACAUAGUAUAGUGGGCGGUUGGCCACUUCCUGAGAAGGGAGGUGGUAAAGAUGACGACUUAUCAAGUAAUAAGCUUACUACUCCAUUUUAGCGUUUCCAUGACAGCAGGAUUAACACUUAUUAUAACCAUCGUCAUCUUUCUAAACAAAAAGAAGUAACCGCCCUCUGACCAAGGUAUCGGCUACUUCUUUUUAGUUCAUCAAACAUCUGGUCAACCGCUCUUUAUGCGGAUGUAGUUGUGGUAUCGGGUAGUUCGCGCUACUCGA
rnacentral:sRNA from 1 species